rnacentral:rRNA from 1 species
CGACCGGCGCACGGGUGAAUAACGCGUAUGCAACCUGCCUGAUACCGGGGUAUAGCCCAUGGAAACGUGGAUUAACACCCCAUAGUACUUUUAUCCUGCAUGGGAUGUGAGUUAAAUGUUCAAGGUAUCGGAUGGGCAUGCGUCCUAUUAGUUAGUUGGCGGGGUAACAGCCCACCAAGACGAUGAUAGGUAGGGGUUCUGAGAGGAAGGUCCCCCACAUUGGAACUGAGACACGGUCCAA